UAUUGGGCGUAAAGAGCUUGUAGGUGGCUUGUCGCGUCUGCCGUGAAAACCCGAGGCUCAACCUCGGGCGUGCGGUGGGUACGGGCAGGCUAGAGUGUGGUAGGGGAGACUGGAACUCCUGGUGUAGCGGUGAAAUGCGCAGAUAUCAGGAAGAACACCGAUGGCGAAGGCAGGUCUCUGGGCCAUUACUGACACUGAGAAGCGAAAGCAUGGGUCUCGAACAGGAUUAGAUACCCUGGUAUUCCAUGCCGUAAACGUUGGGCACUAGGUGUGGGGGACAUUCCCACGUUUUCCGCGCCGUAGCUAACGCAUUAAGUGCCCCGCCUGGGGAGUACGGCCGCAAGGCUAAAACUCAAAGGAAUUGACGGGGGCCCGCACAAGCGGCGGAGCAUGCUGAUUAAUUCGAUGCAACGCGAAGAACCUUACCAAGGCUUGACAUGCACUGGACGGCUGCAGAGAUGUGGCCUUCUUUGGACUGGUGCACAGGUGGUGCAUGGUUGUCGUCAGCUCGUGUCGUGAGAUGUUGGGUUAAGUCCCGCAACGAGCGCAACCCUCGUUCUAUGUUGCCAGCACGUGAUGGUGGGGACUCAUAGGAGACUGCCGGGGUCAACUCGGAGGAAGGUGGGGACGACGUCAAAUCAUCAUGCCCCUUAUGUCUUGGGCUUCAAGCAUGCUACAAUGGUCGGUACAAUGGGUUGCGAAACUGUGAGGUGGAGCGAAUCCCAAAAAGCCGGCCUCAGUUCGGAUUGGGGUCUGCAACUCGACCCCAUGAAGUCGGAGUCGCUAGUAAU
rnacentral:rRNA from 1 species